rnacentral:rRNA from 1 species
GACGAACGCUGGCGGCGUGCUUAACACAUGCAAGUCGAACGGAAAGGCCCCUUUGGGGGUACUCGAGUGGCGAACGGGUGAGUAACACGUUAGUAACCUGCCCUUGACUUCGGGAUAACUUCAGGAAACUGGGGCUAAUACCGGAUAGGAAUCCUUGCUGCAUGGUGGGGGUUGGAAAGCUUCGGCGGUUUUGGAUGGACUCGCGGCUUAUCAGCUUGUUGGUGGGGUAGUGGCUUACCAAGGCUUUGACGGGUAGCCGGCCUGAGAGGGCGACCGGCCACAUUGGGACUGAGAUACGGCCCAGACUCCUACGGGAGGCAGCAGUGGGGAAUAUUGCACAAUGGGCGGAAGCCUGAUGCAGCAACGCCGCGUGCGGGAUGACGGCCUUCGGGUUGUAACCCGCUUUCAGCAGGGGCGAAGCUUGUGGUGACGGUACCUGCAGAAGAAGCACCGGCUAACUACGUG